ACUGUUUAUGAUUAAAUAUUUCAAAUCAGUAUUAAUGUCAAAUAAAUCUCAAAGUAAUCGUGAAAUUGAUUAUCAACUAUAUUAAUUGCAUUCUAAUCUACCAAUAGACACAUAAUAAAGGGUGUUUUUUUAGACGUGUGAUUUUCAGUAACGCAAUACUUUUUCUUUUUUUUUUAGGCAGUUUGGCUUGCCUUUUCAUAUUGAACAGACUUACUCCGGAACCGCCCAGACGAAUCGGGAAUUCGAGCCGCCAUGACGGUUACCUUAGAGGAUAAAGCGCAUACUCAGAAGCGUUCUACAGUGCGCCCUAUCAUCGAAUGGGCAAUGGUUCCCACAAGACGACGUUGAAUGCCAUACAGCCCGUCAAUUUAUUGAAGGAAUUGCUGCUAAAAGUGAUCGAAAAUUGGUUCUCCAAGGUGGAAUUUCAUGGUGGUCUCUUGUGCGAAACUUUUUUUUUUUUAUAUAAUGACAAACCCUUAUCUCUAUAAUAAAGCUGAAUUCUCGGCCAUCACAUUAA